rnacentral:rRNA from 1 species
UACGUAGGGUCCGAGCGUUGUCCGGAAUUACUGGGCGUAAAGGGCGCGUAGGCGGUCAGCACAAGUCAGUUGUGAAAUCUCCGGGCUUAACUCGGAAAGGUCAACUGAUACUGUGCGACUAGAGUGCGGAAGGGGCAACUGGAAUUCUUGGUGUAGCGGUGAAAUGCGUAGAUAUCAAGAGGAACACCUGCGGCGAAGGCGGGUUGCUGGGCCGACACUGACGCUGAGGCGCGAAAGCCAGGGGAGCGAACGGG